rnacentral:lncRNA from 1 species
AGAUGAACAAGAGGGGUGGGGCAAACGACAGAGGUUGAGAACCUCUAAAUUUCUGGUUGAACUAUGAAAAGUUUAAUGCUGAACAAACACGAAGCGCAGACGCCCAGAUAAACAAACUAAGGACCAACCCACGUCAUAUCCUUCAAAAUUUUGCGAACAUGUGCUUAUAAGGUAAUUCAUCAGACCAGUGAUUGUUCACUUCAUUCAUCAACUCAACAGCAUGAGGAUGGCAUGCCGACAUUCAUCUUCAGUUUCUCUCCUUUUCAUCGUCUCAAAUAUUUUUGGGGUUAUCGGUCAGGGGUAUAUUCCGAAUCCAAGGGUCGAGCCACGCUGUAGUGCGUACAAAGUUUUACCGUAUGAUUCCACAAUUUUUGACUUCUCACAGCCUUAUUACGUGUCGGCAUCGAGCGUGGCCGGCACAAUUAUCGGAUGGAACGAGCCGGAUACGGUCGUCUGUGACAGCACUUUCACUGUCGGCGCUCAGUGCUGUGGUUUGUGCACGUUUAUCCAAUUCACGCCCAACAACGAUGACCCCGAUCCUGAUCAAUUCUCCAUGAACAUGAUUGAAACUGCGUUCAACGAGUGCUAUGGUGGAUACGACACAACAACCAGCACGGUUUAUCCUGCGUAUCAAGAGCGAGACAAAAGUGUGUACAGAGUGUUCCGCUCUCAAAAUUACAAUAAGUGGCUGACUUCUACAGACGUAUACGACAGAAACUUGAUCGAUACCCCCAAGUACAGAACAGCACCGUUGAAAUAUUCCUUCGGAGUGAUUAUGGCUGAUAUUGACGUUCUGGUGCUCGUUUUCUGCAACAACUUUAACAACCUUACCUACAACGGAGCUCCUAACGUUCUUGUACUCUCCAAGUCGCCAAAUUUGUCGAGGGACGUGAGGAACAGAAUCUACAAAACCCUCGUCGAUAACAGAAUCGAUCCGAACAGUUUGAGCUUCAGGAACAACUACAAUUGCCCAGACAUCGACUCCUAUGGUCCAAACUGGUAUCAAAAUCUCAACUCCAAGCGGACCCAACCUCUGUUACGACCUAAUGCCAUUAAGUAUUAAAUUAAACGUUCCAGGUCACAUUAACUUUUACUCACAUGUAUUUUACAAAUCAACCAUCUAUUUCUGUGUAGAGGCGAACUAUCUUCAAGAAUUAUGUCAUAUGUUAUUAAAAAAUAAAUACUGCGAUCUUGUCAAUUUUAGUUCUUCAUACUCCUGUAGAGAGCCUUUAUCCAGGGUCGAGGCCUGUUCGCUCACGGCUGAUGCGCCCCCAAUAUUCGAGUUAUGCAACGCGUGCUUUUCUUCGCGUUUCAAUCGUGGUAUCAAGGUCCUAACCCAAAAGUUUGCUGUUCUAAAAUAUGAUGAUCAGAAUGCAUGAUAACUCUAAAUUGCAUCAUAAUUGUUGUUAAGGGCCAAAGAACCGGUACAUAAUACAUGUUUACCGAUUUAAGAGAUCAGGAGAAAACCAUAUAACUGCAUAGGGCAUUCUGCAAAUUUAAUAGCGUUGUGUCUUGGGCCCGGUUUUAGAUGAUCGUAACCAAUUUUUCUCUACUUGAAGAUCCCUUUUCAUGUGUGUCAAAUGUGCAAAUCACUCUAUUUUUCCAAAAUCAUUUUUCCUCUUUAUCACAAAUAUCGAUGGCAAAUAUGCGAAACCACGUUUCUCUGUUUGCAGCGUUGCAGACCUCCUGUCAUACUUUAUUUUCUCUUUGAAAAACUCUAGUCAGCGUGUAUUCUUGAGCACUACUUUGAUUUCUCCUCUCUGGAAGCAGAAUAUUCUGUAUUAAUUCCAAGCUAUAAUGUUUCCUUGUUUCUUUUUGAAAAAAUAAAAGAAGAGCGGAAAUUUUGAAAUCUUUCGAUGGAGAUACGUAGUUUCGCACUUUGGUCAUUGAUAAAAUUGGACGAGGUUAAGUAAUUGUAAUUAUAGAAACUCUUAUGAACGUAGGAUUUAUCUAAUAUAAUUUUCCGCUCAGGAGCUCCUAGGUUCAUCUUCUAAAAACUUCAUUUAUCUCCUGCAGUUCCUGCUCUCUUUCGUAACACGAAGUCCAGAAUCGGCGCCAAAGUUUUCAAAUCGACUAACUCCGUCGGACCGGCGAGGAGGUCAUCGCUCCUACGACGUAAAGGCGUACCUCAAUUUACACGUGAGCCCUAUUUUACGUGUAAAUCCAUGCUCUUUGGGGCUCAUGCAGAAAGCGAGAUACGCCCUUACGCUAGAUAAGCGACGAGGUGAAGCGUUGAAAAAAGGUAUGUAGAGAGGAUGCAGCUGGGAAUGAGGUGAAAAGUCUGUCAGUGCCUAUUUUAUAGUCAAGGAUGAUGAAGUUUUAAGCAGGAGCCGGAGGAAUCGAAAAACUAAUCUUGUUGUAAAGUUCAUUUUUAUAGCUCUCGCAACAAAGUUGGAAUCCGCGCCCUUACGAGGCGAAACGUAAAGACAAGUUGGAGCGAAGAAAUGAAAGCUUUUAACGAGCUUUUUAUACGUUUGUUUAUUACGUCGCUUUCUCCCGGCCGCCGAGGAAACUCUGCACCGAAGCAGUUUCAGCCUCGGCCGGCAUCGCGAAAUGGUGUCGGGAAUAUUAGCGGGGCCUCCGAAAAAUAGGCGCGAGCUCGCAUGAUUCGGCAACGUUGCGUGCUAGCAUUGGAGAUGAGGCGCAAGCAGACUUUGUAAGUCCUUAGUUUUAUCACCCGGCAUGGCGGUCUUAAUCUAGCGAGGCGUAAAAUUCCCUCCAAAGUAAGAUGGCGUCUUCAACGAUCUUUUUAAAGCAGCGAAUACAGAAUACAUACCCCUGCGAGAGAGGAUACAUGAGUAUUGACAACGAGAGCCAAUGGGAACCGUGCAACCCACUCGAGUCGAUCUAGCAUGACUUCGUCUCCCACUGGCCAAAGUAUCGGAAGCGCCGCAUGCGACUUUCCAGCGCCAUUUUAUUUUAACAGAGAAAUUUUUCAACGAAGCUGUCCGAAAAUUUCCCUGAAUUUUCUUUGUGCUGCCGAUAUAAUUCUGUGAAAUUUUCAAACAGAUUCAACCAACAAGCUCUCCUUAAAAAAUAAGAUGGCGGCGGAAAUUUUGAAACGUCGCAUGGCGCUUGUGAUACUUUGGCCGGAAGGUGGCGAC